GACAGUGCUAAGCAAAGAGCAAGUGAAAGGAAGGGAGGAGGAAGGCACGGCUCAGAGGCUGGACUUGCGACAGCAGCGAGGAGGCGCUUAAGCCUCGCCUUCGGAUUUAAGAAAGCCGCCUUUUCCUUUCCCGGAGCUUGUUGUUUACAACGGCGAUUGGAUUUCCUCCAAGCCCGGUACGCGGGGAUAAAGCAAGGGAAAAGGGAGCUUGGGUAAGAACUCCUAAUCCGAUUAGCGGCUAAUCUCUCAGAGUGGACGUUUCCUUUCUCUCGCCGUGACAUAAAGUGAAGCGCGUUGGGUUAGGCCGGAAGUGCUUCUUGAUGAAGUUAAUACAAGUGUGUACAGAAUUGGCAAAGAGGAUCCUUACAAAAUAAGAAUUCCAGUGCUCAGGUGAGCUACUCCACACUUCAAGAAACAAACAACACUAGCGAGAAUUGGAAAUAUUUAUUUACCAAAAAUAUGUAUUUGAGACCAAAUUUUCUUGGUGUACAUGAAAUGUUUAUUUAAUUAAAGGCAUUUUUUUCACAGAAUGA